rnacentral:rRNA from 1 species
AACGUGCCUAGUAGUGGGGGAUAACUACUCGAAAGAGUAGCUAAUACCGCAUGAGAUCCAAGGAUGAAAGCAGGGGACCUUCGGGCCUUGCGCUACUAGAGCGGCUGAUGGCAGAUUAGGUAGUUGGUGGGAUAAAAGCUUACCAAGCCGACGAUCUGUAGCUGGUCUGAGAGGACGACCAGCCACACUGGGACUGAGACACGGCCCAGACUCCUACGGGAGGCAGCAGUGGGGAAUUUAGGACAAUGGGCGAAAGCCUGAUCCAGCAAUGCCGCGUGCAGGAUGAAGGCCCUCGGGUUGUAAACUGCUUUUGUACGGAACGAAAAGACUCUCUCUAAUAAAGAGGGUUGAUGACGGUACCGUAAGAAUAAGCACCGGCUAACUACGUGCCAGCAGCCGCGGUAAUACGUAGGGUGCGAGCGUUAAUCGGAAUUACUGGGCGUAAAGCGUGCGCAGGCGGUUAUGUAAGACAGAGGUGAAAUCCCCGGGCUCAACCUGGGAACGGCCUUUGUGACUGCAUGGCUAGAGUGCGGCAGANGGGGAUGGAAUUCCGCGUGUAGCAGUGAAAUGCGUAGAUAUGCGGA